rnacentral:rRNA from 1 species
GCGAACGCUGGCGGCAGGCUUAACACAUGCAAGUCGAACGGGCAUAGCAAUAUGUCAGUGGCAGACGGGUGAGUAACGCGUGGGAACGUACCUUUUGGUUCGGAAUAACUCAGGGAAACUUGUGCUAAUACCGAAUAGGCCCUUACGGGGAAAGAUUUAUCGCCGAAAGAUCGGCCCGCGUCUGAUUAGCUAGUUGGUGAGGUAAGAGCUCACCAAGGCGACGAUCAGUAGCUGGUCUGAGAGGAUGAUCAGCCACAUUGGGACUGAGACACGGCCCAAACUCCUACGGGAGGCAGCAGUGGGGAAUAUUGGACAAUGGGCGAAAGCCUGAUCCAGCCAUGCCGCGUGAGUGAUGAAGGCCCUAGGGUUGUAAAGCUCUUUUGUGCGGGAAGAUAAUGACGGUACCGCAAGAAUAAGCCCCGGCUAACUUCGU